ensembl:lncRNA
AUGAAGGGGGUGCUACAGUGAGAGAGGUGUGUGUGUUUGGGUUCUACAUGAAGGGGGUGCUACAGUGAGAGAGGUGUGUGUGUUUGGGUUCUACAUGAAGGGGGUGCUAGAGUGAGAGAGGUGUGUGUUUGGGUUCUACAUGAAGGGGGGUGCUACAGUGAGAGAGGUGUGUGUGUUUGGGUUCUACAUGAAGGGGGGGGGCUACAGUGAGAGAGGUGUGUGUGUUUGGGUUCUACAUGAUUGGGGGUGCUACAGUGAGAGAGGUGUGUGUGUUUGGGUUCUACAUGAAGGGGGGCGCUACAGUGAGAGAGGUGUGUGUGUUUGGGUUCUACAUGAAGGGGG